CACUCUUUUUUUGUUUUUUAAUACCCAUUUCUAAAAGAACAAUCAAAUGGCCAAAAGAUACACGGACCAAAAUCACCCGUUCAAAAUAGCUUCGACAGCACCAGAAGACUGACACGGACUGAUCACUACGUGCUUUUAAAAAGCAACAAGAGAGUGACAAUAAGGGAGGAUGACAUGUCCACUGAAAAAAUAAGACGGAUUUUUCAGGUGGGUCUAGUUAAAAGUCUUAUUAACGUUACUAAUUAAGCGCAGGUGUUAAGCAUCUAAGUUUUAACUCGUUAUGUUCGUUAGAGCAUGAUUGUACUUCAGGUUAAACGUCGAUUGAAAUAAUAACUCAAUAAUUUGAUAUUGGCAACGUUAGGUCUUACAGACUAAUAAUUGUAAAAUAGGCCAGAUAAAUAAGCUUGGGUGUGUGUAUUUCACAGGUCUCCAUUCAAAAUCUGUAUCUGACUGACGAUCUGAAUAUGGCGAUUUUUCCUGGGGUGAAUGGACUGUUCAGCACCCUUGACUUGACACCGAGGGGUCAUUAUGAAGUCCACGUGACAGUGAGUCGGACCUGUCGCCAUCAUCAUCUGCCAGUACCUCCAGUGGCAGUCAGCGCUUCUCAUUUCUACGAUCAUCAUCCCCUGCUGUAGCUUCCCCGGUUCUGGCAGGUGCAGGGCCUCCGAGAGCGAGCAUGUCCCGUUUUUUUUCAAAGGUCUAUUUUUAUUGCGGAGUGUUUGGGUGGAAAAUUGAAGCCAACAGAACCGUGAUUGUUCGGUUUAUGGAGUUUGAGGCAACUGUCCCUGGCAUUAUGGCUAAAGUUCAAGCUGCCCUAAACAGUGAAGAGCCACUGACACUAACGGAUGCACAGGGCAAUGAAAUAGUGGAGUCAGAAGGAACUAAAGGUUCGUUGUACUGGAAGCAAAAUGCUCGCAAAAUAUUUGCAGUUUCAGAGGAGGAGUUUCAAAGAUUUCAACAAGGAUGCAAACGAAAGAGGUCCAG